UGGAAGCAAGACAACUGGGCACCUUCUUCCCUCUGCAGAGCCCGUGAACACCGUGGUGAAUCUUUCGGGAGCUCCUUUGCUCAGGAAGCUGGCUGUCCAACACUCACCAGCACGCCGUGGCCUGAAAGCUGCAUUCAGUGUGUGGACUUCAUCCUGGGUGAAGGGGAUAUGGCUUUCGCUAGGAUUGAAAGCACAGGCUGGGUGCAGUGGCUCACGCCUGUAAUCCUAGCACUUUGGGAGGCCAAGGCGGGCUGAUCACCUGAGGCCAGGAGUUUGAGACCAGUCUGGCCAAGAUGGUGAAACCCCGUCUCUACUAAAAAUACAAAAAAUUGCAGCCAUAAAAAAUGAUGAGUUCAUGUCCUUUGUAGGGACAUGGAUGAAAUUGGAAAUCAUCAUUCUCAGUAAACUAUUGCAAGGCCAAAAAAACCAAAUACCGCAUGUUCUCACUCAUAGAUAGGAAUUGAACAAUGAGAACACAUGGACACAGGAAG
rnacentral:lncRNA from 1 species